GCCUCCCGUCUACAGCUAAGCUUAUUCGACUGCCUCUACAAUGGAAAUGCCCUCUUCAUUGAUCUCGGGUUUUUCGUCAGCCUUGCAUUUUGCUUCUCCAUCUUUGCAUUUUCCUCUUCAUCUGGGGUAAUAUUACUGUAUCUGAUGUCUCAUAUCAACCUGUGCUUGUAUCAACCGGAUUUUCUAAGAAUUAAAUUCUCUAGCCAUCAAGGCCAGUUUCGUAUUUUUUGAUGAUAUAUAUAAUGUCCAAGGUACGUACAUCACCGCACCCUCUCUCUUUCUCCCUCUAGAUUCUUCCCUUGCUCUUGUUAUUUUCCCUUUUUCUGCAUGUAUCUUCCUGACUUCCUCCUCUCUCUCUGAGUUAUCGAGGCUGUGACGAUGGAAGACCUUUUGGUGGUUUGAACAUCAAACGGAACCUGAAUAGAACCAUGUAAAUUAUGAGUAAAUAAUGAGCAAGUGAAUCAGGGGCUGUUUGUGAAAAUAUAUAGUAGUAGUUACUCGCUACUAUGGUUUACUGUUAAGCCAUGUUUUGGGGGAUAAAGAGGGACACCAUCAAAGUGCAGGGAAAGCUGCUAUGCUCAAAGUUGCGGAGGCACAUACGCAGCAGAAGCUUAAUUAUGCUAUGGCUUAGUUGUCAGCUCUGCACUUGUAGGGCAGGGAGUGGUGGACGUUUUGGCAGACUUUCUUGGAGAUAAAAACUAUCCCUUUUGGAAAGCAACUAUGCUUGUGAAUUUUCUAGAUGGAUUAUCGGCUGUGUUAACACUUGCUGUGAUACACGUAUCAGAGGCUUACACAGGUCGCUUCAAGGCCAUUAUCUUCUGCACCACAGCCUAUACUAUGGUUUUCUUGAAACCCUAAUAAUGGAUGCGGCAAAAGGUUAAGUCAAACGCACUGGAAAGGAAAGCAUAUGUGUCUGUCCACACACACACAGAGAUAAUCAAUCCUUCCCUUCGAACAAGAACUCUAUUGGAAAUUUUUAUAUUUGGAUAUCUUUUGCCAUGGCUACAAUUACAUGUAAACUAUAAUGCUUAAAACACGAUAUACUCGUGACAAAAGGAGACAAGAAAUGAAUAUACGAUAGGUUUCUUUGCUUUCUUUCGUCUCCGUUGGCGUUUUCGCAUGAAGUAAUCAUGCUCUUUUUUUCUCUUCUGAAGCAUUGCUAUAUGAAUUGGUUGGGUGUUUGAUGCUUUUAAACUCAUGGGUAUUCAUUUUUU